CCUACGGGUGGCAGCAGUGAGGAAUAUUGGUCAAUGGGCGGAAGCCUGAACCAGCCAAGUCGCGUGAGGGAUUAAGGCCCUGCGGGUCGUAAACCUCUUUUGCCGGGGAGCAGUGGUCCGGACGUGUCCGGGCCGGGAGAGUACCCGGAGAAAAAGCAUCGGCUAACUCCGUGCCAGCAGCCGCGGUAAUACGGAGGAUGCGGGCGGUAUCCGGAUUUAUUGGGUUUAAAGGGUGCGUAGGCGGGCAUUUAAUCCGGCGGUCAAAUGUCGGGGCUCAACCCCGGCCUGCCGUCGAAACGGGGUGCCUUGAGUGGGCGAGAAGUAUGCGGAAUGCGUGGUGUAGCGGUGAAAUGCAUAGAUAUCACGCAGAACCCCGAUUGCGAAGGCAGCAUACCGGCGCCCUACUGACGCUGAGGCACGAAAGUGCGGGUAUCGAACAGGAUUAGAUACCCUGGUAGUC
rnacentral:rRNA from 1 species